GUUCCCCUUAAGAUAAUUAAAGGAUGAUUUAUCCAUGACAAAUUUGGUGCCGCAAGUCCCGGGAAUGACGGUUCACUUAUCCUGAACUGGAGAAUCUGUGCCUCUCUGACUGUGAACGAGUGCUGCAGAAAGGUAUGAAAAAGUGUUUCUUUUUCUACCUAUUACCUUAACUCUCAGAGCAGUGCUUAUUCUGUGUCCGGGUAAGUUUUGUACUUAAAAAU